rfam:Chelonia mydas contig184741, whole genome shotgun sequence.
GGCCAUGUGCAGUGGCAGCAUCAUAAUCUAUGAGGUUAAACUGAGGCGUGAUUAUUGCUAAUUGAAAACUUUAGCUGAGGCUCUCAUCUGCAACACUCUCAAGGACGAUGCACUUUUGCCCACAUACUGAACUG